rnacentral:rRNA from 1 species
UACGAAGGGGGGCUAGCGUUGUUCGGAAUUACUGGGCGUAAAGCGCACGUAGGCGGAUAUUUAAGUCAGGGGUGAAAUCCCGGGGCUCAACCCCGGAACUGCCUUUGAUACUGGGUAUCUUGAGUGUGGUAGAGGUGAGUGGAAUUGCGAGUGUAGAGGUGAAAUUCGUAGAUAUUCGCAGGAACACCAGUGGCGAAGGCGGCUCACUGGGACCACAACUGACGCUGAGGUGCGAAAGCGUGGGGAGCAAACAGGG